ACAACCGCAACAUGUACCAGAUGAACCACCACAUCCUCUCGACUUUCCACAACUUGAUCACCCCAUUGUUACGUGUGCAAAUC